rnacentral:rRNA from 1 species
CCUACGGGUGGCAGCAGUGAGGAAUAUUGGUCAAUGGUCGGGAGACUGAACCAGCCAAGCCGCGUGAGGGAUGAAGGUACAGAGUAUCGUAAACCUCUUUUGUCAGGGAACAAAGGCGGGGACGUGUCCCCGUAUGAGUUUACCUGCAGAAAAAGCAUCGGCUAACUCCGUGCCAGCAGCCGCGGUAAUACGGAUGAUGCGAGCGUUAUCCGGAUUUAUUGGGUUUAAAGGGUGCGCAGGCGGUCUGGUAAGUCAGCGGGCAAAGCCCGGGGCUCAACCCGGACCCGCCGUUGAAACUGGCAGUCUAGAGUUGGAGAGAAGUAUGCAGAAUGCGAGGUGUAGCGGUGAAAUGCAUAGAUAUCGCGCAGAACUCCGAUUGCGAAGGCAGCAUGCCGGCUCCACACUGACGCUGAGGCACGAAAGCGUGGGUAUCGAACAGGAUUAGAUACCCGGGUAGUC